AUUUGGGUGGCCAGGUGGUUAGAGCAUCCGCCUCAAAUGUGGGAGGUCGCAGGUUCAAACCCCGGCCAAGUCAUCCCAAAGA